rnacentral:tRNA from 1 species
CUGUAGCUCAGUGGCAGAGCACUUACCUAGCAUGUAUGAGCACUGGGUUCAAUCCUCAGCAG